rnacentral:rRNA from 1 species
GAUGAACGCUAGCGAUAGGCUUAACACAUGCAAGUCGAGGGGCAGCAUGGUCUUAGCUUGCUAAGACUGAUGGCGACCGGCGCACGGGUGCGUAACGCGUAUGCAACUUGCCUCACAGAGGGGGAUAACCCGUCGAAAGACGGACUAAUACCGCGUACACUUGGGAUAGGGCAUCCUGACCCAAGGAAAUGAAAUUCGCUGUGAGAUAGGCAUGCGUCCCAUUAGCUAGUUGGUGAGGUAACGGCUCACCAAGGCGACGAUGGGUAGGGGAACUGAGAGGUUGAACCCCCACACUGGUACUGAGACACGGACCAGACUCCUACGGGAGGCAGCAGUGAGGAAUAUUGGUCAAUGGGCGAGAGCCUGAACCAGCCAAGUCGCGUGAAGGAUGACUGUCUUAUGGAUUGUAAACUUCUUUUAUACGGGAAUAACAAGAGCCACGUGUGGCUCCCUGCAUGUACCGUAUGAAUAAGCAUCGGCUAACUCCGUG